GUCAACGCGAUGGAUAGCGUAUUGGGCUUCUAAUCCAAAGAUCGUUAGAGUUCGAAUCCCACCUGGGAUG